GUGGUGUAGUGGCCCAUCAUACGACCCUGUCACGGUCGUGACGCGGGUUCAAAUCCCGCC
rfam:halophilic archaeon J07HX64 genomic scaffold scf_7180000098875, whole genome shotgun sequence.